rnacentral:rRNA from 1 species
UACGUAGGGGGCAAGCGUUGUCCGGAUUUAUUGGGCGUAAAGAGCGUGUAGGCGGCCAGGUAGGUCCGUUGUGAAAACUAGAGGCUCAACCUCUAGACGUCGAUGGAAACCAUCUGGCUAGAGUCCGGAAGAGGAGAGUGGAAUUCCUGGUGUAGCGGUGAAAUGCGCAGAUAUCAGGAGGAACACCAACGGCGAAGGCAGCUCGCUGGGACGGUACUGACGCUGAGACGCGAAAGCGUGGGGAGCGAACAGG